rnacentral:rRNA from 1 species
UACGUAGGGGGCAAGCGUUGUCCGGAUUUAUUGGGCGUAAAGAGCGUGUAGGCGGCCAUUCAGGUCAGCUGUGAAAACUCGAGGCUCAACCUCGAGACGUCGGUUGAAACCGUUUGGCUAGAGUCCGGAAGAGGAGAGUGGAAUUCCCGGUGUAGCGGUGAAAUGCGCAGAUAUCGGGAAGAACACCCGUGGCGAAGGCGGCUCUCUGGGACGGUACUGGACGCUGAGACGCGAAAG